rnacentral:rRNA from 1 species
CGCGGUAAUACGGAGGGGGCUAGCGUUGUUCGGAAUUACUGGGCGUAAAGAGCACGUAGGCGGUUUAAAAAGUUAGAGGUGAAAUCCCAGGGCUCAACCCUGGAACUGCCUUUAAUACUGCUAAUCUUGAGUUCGAUAGAGGAAAGCGGAAUUUCUAGUGUAGAGGUGAAAUUCGUAGAUAUUCGGAAGAACACCAAUGGCGAAAGCGGCUUACUGGAUCGUUACUGACGCUGAG